AAAUGCGACCAUAACAUCACUAAGGCACCGGAUCCCAUCGGAAUUUCAAAGUUAAGUGUACUUGGGUGGGAGUAGUACUAGAAUGGGUGAUCUCCUACAAAGUCCUUGUGCUAUAGAAG
rnacentral:rRNA from 1 species